ACCGAGAUGGUGAAAUUGGUAUACACGCUACUUUGAGGUAGUAGUACUAAAUAAAAAUUUUAGUGUACGGGUUCAAGUCCCGUUCUCGGUA
rnacentral:tRNA from 1 species